GUAACAACUAAAAAAAGACGACCAAAAAUAUAAUUCAACAGAGGAUGAUGGCUGUGGUGAAACAAGCACUCAAAUAAUGAAACUAAAGACCAGUGGGAGUGCUGGAGAAAUCAUGUGUAUAAGUCCUCUGUCUCCUCAGCCAUGGAAGAGAUCUUCAGACAUGAAGAGAUUGAGGAGUUAAAUGAAAUCAUGACAGUGACUGUAUGGUGGACUUUCUUUAUCUAGUUUCAUGGGUUCAUUUUGUCAAAGGGUGGACUGAGGAGCUGUAUGGGAUGUCGGAAGUAAUGGCGGUCUGUAUGGAGAUGCAUUGAAACAUAACCGUGGCUAGGUUAUGUGAAUCACAUUAAAGGUGUGAGUCAACGUGUGCGGUAUUGCAGUGGGCUGGUGUCUGGCUCGGUGCGUGUUUCAACUAUUGUUGGAGGCUUGAUGAUUGGCUGUUCCAGUGGC